UACGAAGGGUGCAAGCGUUACUCGGAAUUACUGGGCGUAAAGCGUGCGUAGGCGGUUCGUUAAGUCUGUCGUGAAAGCCCUGGGCUCAACCUGGGAAUUGCGAUGGAUACUGGCGAGCUAGAGUACGGUAGAGGAUGGUGGAAUUCCCGGUGUAGCGGUGAAAUGCGUAGAGAUCGGGAGGAACACCCGUGGCGAAGGCGGCCAUCUGGACCAGUACUGACGCUGAGACGCGAAAGCGUGGGGAGCAAACAGG
rnacentral:rRNA from 1 species